UUUUGGACAAUGGGGGCAACCCUGAUCCAGCAAUGCCGCGUGAGUGAAGAAGGCCUUCGGGUUGUAAAGCUCUUUUGUCAGGGAAGAAACACCGGCUCUAACACAGUCCGGGAAUGACGGUACCUGAAGAAUAAGCACCGGCUAACUACGUGCCAGCAGCCGCGGUAAUACGUAGGGUGCAAGCGUUAAUCGGAAUUACUGGGCGUAAAGCGUGCGCAGGCGGUUAUACAAGACAGGCGUGAAAUCCCCGGGCUUAACCUGGGAAUGGCCCCCUGUGACUGUAUAGCUAGAGUGUGUCAGAGGGGGGUAGAAUUCCACGUGUAGCAGUGAAAUGCGUAGAUAUGUGGAGGAAUACCAAUGGCGAAGGCAGCCCCCUGGGAUAACACUGACGCUCAUGCACGAA
rnacentral:rRNA from 1 species